UAUUUAGAUAGAAAAGAAAAGUGUUGUAAAAUGAAAAUUAUUAUUUUAACAUACAUUGCUGUUUGUGGAUUCUCUACCUUUGUACACGCAGCCCCUAUACAGUCUUCGGAGCCCUGGAUAAAACCUUGUGCAGGAAGUACGCCAUCUAGUGUCAAUUUCAACACAACAAUCGUCAACGUAAAUACAGCAGAGGUGGUCCAACGGUUGUCGAGAAAAUCCAAAUUAUUUUUAAGCCAAACAGACGGAAUAUUUUCCCAUGUUAAAAAAAGUUUAAUUAUGGAUAAAGAUAUGAUUGCAAUGUUGGACGGAAAACCAAAAACCGCAAAUUUCCCAGAAGGUUGUGUGCCAACUCCGGUACAGGAUUCUGAUGUCAACAAAGAAAAUUACCUUAAGAUUUCAAAGGUGUAUAUUUUGAUGGAGGUGUAUAAAAACUUAAACGUUGAAAUAGACACAAAGUUAAAGGAUUUAUCAAACAGAGUAAUUGCCUCAUUAAACGAUAUUCUUUGUGAGUUUUCCUUUUUAGUGAACAUAGCAGGAUAUCGGCCAAUAGAAUCUUUAGACAGAAACACAAUGAUCGAUCAACAACAUAAAACUUUUACCGCUUCAAAAUUUUAUAGUUGGAAUUAUGUCCUUUUAAGAGACAUAAAAGGAUUCAGUCGUUCUGUUUUAAAUUGUGUUCAAAAUGGAAAAUUCGACAGUUAACAUACCAGGAAAUCUUAGCUCUUCCAAUGAUCUCUUCCCGAAGAAAAUAAAUCCGGAUAUCUGUGAUAAAUUAACUUUUUGUAUUGUAUUGUAUUUUGUAUUGUGUUGUGUCUAUGUGGAACUUGUAGUUCAUUUAGUUUCCGUCCCUGCAUCAUGACAAUGAUAAAUGCCGGUGAUUAUUUAUUUAUAUGUUGUAUAUUUGGUUGAUGUUUCCUAAUGGAAUUUGACAAUGUCAAGGAAGAGGUAAUUUUUUAACGCUCAUUUUUUUACAUAGUGAUACAAUGUUAUUCAAUAUACGGCACUUUUGAUGGUCUUGCGUUGUUACCUAAAUGGAUUAAUAUAUAAGAUCCUUUAAAUUUUGAUUGUUUUCGUUUUGAUUGAUCACUGUUAUAUAUAGCCUCGUUUUGAUUGAUAAAUGUUAUAUAUAGCCUCGUUGUGAUUGAUCCAAUAUUAUGUUAGACCGAAUAAUCUGUCUCUUCGUGUUUAUUUUUUACAUUUCAUAUUUCCUAUUUAUCAUUUGGAUUUUUCAUAUUUUUUUUUUUAUAUAAAAGGUCAAAAUGAGGAAAAUAAAAUAUGGGAAGGGUGAAAUAUGGACACAGGAGACAGAAAAAUUCGGUCUAAUAUUAUGUUAUCAUCUUCAUUGUGCCAUUUUUUAGCCAAGCAAUUUAAGAUUACUUGAUAUCAUUUAAAGGUAUGAAAUAAUACAUGGAUUUCUAAGAUCUCAUAUGGCCUGUGUUUACCAAGAUUAAUAAUAACCAAGUAAAAAUACACGCUCUAGACUACAUUAGCUGGAAGGAGGUUAAUUGUAACCUACAUUAUUUCAAAACAAGUACAUCAUUUAAUUUACAAAAUGAUAUGUAAUCAAAAUAUCAUUCGAGUGUGUGUGUGCAUGUGUGUGUGUAAAUGAAACUGAAUAUUAUAUGAUAUUACUGAAGUGGUAAAAUGUGUAAUUUAUUGUGAAAAUAGUAUGUUGGUUGUUAAAUUCAUGAAUAACAUUUUUUAAAUAUUGUAUUGUAAUUAAUUUAUUUGAGAAAUAUUGCUAUUUCUAUAUUGGUUUCUGUUUUUAAAUAAAAUUAUUUUCUAAUACUAAUAAAUUAUAAUUUUUCUUCUGUCAA